GGAAGAGUCAGCGGUGCCAGGAGAUUUUGAUCAGGGGACUCAGCACCCCAGCGCGUAGAGGCACUGGAUUUGUAGAGUCCAUUGGGUGGGACGAGAAAUGAGAUCAGCAUGGAGUCUGACUGCUAGAUAGAUAGAAGCUAAUUUAUCUUUUGUUUAUGGACAUUGGAAAAUUAUGUAAUAAUUCCGUACAUUUUGGUUGGAUUUGAUUUAAUUUCAUUAAUCAU